AGAAGUGCGAAUGCUGACAUAAGUAACGAUAAAGCGGGUGAAAAGCCCGCUCGCCGGAAGACCAAGGGUUCCUGUCCAACGUUAAUCGGGGCAGGGUGAGUCGACCCCUAAGGCGAGGCCGAAAGGCGUAGUCGAUGGGAAACAGGUUAAUAUUCCUGUACUUGGUGUUACUGCGAAGGGGGGACGGAGAAGGCUAUGUUGGCCGGGCGACGGUUGUCCCGGUUUAAGCGUGUAGGCUGGUUUUCCAGGCAAAUCCGGAAAAUCAAGGCUGAGGCGUGAUGACGAGGCACUGCGGUGCUGAAGCAACAAAUGCCCUGCUUCCAGGAAAAGCCUCUAAGCAUCAGGUAACAUCAAAUCGUACCCCAAACCGACACAGGUGGUCAGGUAGAGAAUACCAAGGCGCUUGAGAGAACUCGGGUGAAGGAACUAGGCAAAAUGGUGCCGUAACUUCGGGAGAAGGCACGCUGAUAUGUAGGUGAAGUCCCUCGCGGAUGGAGCUGAAAUCAGUCGAAGAUACCAGCUGGCUGCAACUGUUUAUUAAAAACACAGCACUGUGCAAACACGAAAGUGGACGUAUACGGUGUGACGCCUGCCCGGUGCCGGAAGGUUAAUUGAUGGGGUUAGCGCAAGCGAAGCUCUUGAUCGAAGCCCCGGUAAACGGCGGCCGUAACUAUAACGGUCCUAAGGUAGCGAAAUUCCUUGUCGGGUAAGUUCCGACCUGCACGAAUGGCGUAAUGAUGGCCAGGCUGUCUCCACCCGAGACUCAGUGAAAUUGAACUCGCUGUGAAGAUGCAGUGUACCCGCGGCAAGACGGAAAGACCCCGUGAACCUUUACUAUAGCUUGACACUGAACAUUGAGCCUUGAUGUGUAGGAUAGGUGGGAGGCUUUGAAGUGUGGACGCCAGUCUGCAUGGAGCCGACCUUGAAAUACCACCCUUUAAUGUUUGAUGUUCUAACGUUGACCCGUAAUCCGGGUUGCGGACAGUGUCUGGUGGGUAGUUUGACUGGGGCGGUCUCCUCCUAAAGAGUAACGGAGGAGCACGAAGGUUGGCUAAUCCUGGUCGGACAUCAGGAGGUUAGUGCAAUGGCAUAAGCCAGCUUGACUGCGAGCGUGACGGCGCGAGCAGGUGCGAAAGCAGGUCAUAGUGAUCCGGUGGUUCUGAAUGGAAGGGCCAUCGCUCAACGGAUAAAAGGUACUCCGGGGAUAACAGGCUGAUACCGCCCAAGAGUUCAUAUCGACGGCGGUGUUUGGCACCUCGAUGUCGGCUCAUCACAUCCUGGGGCUGAAGUAGGUCCCAAGGGUAUGGCUGUUCGCCAUUUAAAGUGGUACGCGAGCUGGGUUUAGAACGUCGUGAGACAGUUCGGUCCCUAUCUGCCGUGGGCGCUGGAGAACUGAGGGGGGCUGCUCCUAGUACGAGAGGACCGGAGUGGACGCAUCACUGGUGUUCGGGUUGUCAUGCCAAUGGCACUGCCCGGUAGCUAAAUGCGGAAGAGAUAAGUGCUGAAAGCAUCUAAGCACGAAACUUGCC
rnacentral:rRNA from 1 species